AUACAUAUAGAGUUUAUAUUAUUGAGGCUAAGUAGUGAAAGAGAUAGCUGAGACUAAGAAAAUAUUUUAAGUCUUCAACUAUAUUCACUAUACAAAAGAUAGUAACUAUAUUAGAGAAAGAUAUAGUUGAAAUAAAAAAAAUAUUCUAAGUCUUUAACUAUAUUCACCAUAAAAUAGAGAGUUUUAUAUGUUGAAGGAAGGUGUUCUUAUGGUGGAGCUUUGAACUCUUCAACUAAUCCGCAGUUGCUUGAGUUAUACAUCGUUGAUGGACUGUUGUACUUGGAGGGGACAAGUCAAGAGAUAUACUAUUGGAUCGGUGUAAAUUAUGCCACAAUGGCUUGAAUCUCCUUAAAGAGAGACAGAUAUCCGAGCUUCAGCCAAGAAGAAGAUUAUUUAUUUUCUUCAUUUUUUUUAUAUUUUUAAUUGUAAUUUAAUUAUUGUGGUAUAUUACACCAAAAAUUUUAAGUAGAUUCAUGUUUUGUUACAGUUCGAAAAAUUGUGGAUAUCAAGAUGAGAGAUCUCAACAUGUCAUUAGACUCUUCAAGAGAUAGAAGGGAAGAGAUGAAGAGUAAAGUAUCUUUCUACUCCUCAACUUAAGCGGAGGAAACUUAAAAACUUUUCUACUUAUUGCAGAGGUUCAUGAAUAAAAUGUUACUUUUUCAUGAAAGUUUAUUUUUUUAAAGUCUCAAAAUAGUAAGGGAUAAUGAAAUGGAAAAAAUCACCAUGAAAAAUGUGAUUUUUUUCUUUUUGAGAAUGCUUUUAAAAAAAAAGGUGUUACGAGUGCAUAUAUUAGUCUUGGAAUAAAUCACUUGUUACUAUAUCUAUAUGAGUUGAUAUCUUCGGCUCUAGCAUGUAUGUCAUCAAAGAAAUGAAAAAAUUGAGUAGCCAUUUUGAUAUGAAAAAAUGGGUGAGAUAAAUUUCAUUCUUGGAAGGAAAGAAAUACCCUAACACAUCUGAUAAAAUUUUUCCUUGACAUGUCACAUUAUAGUGAAA
rnacentral:lncRNA from 1 species